AGAACAUCAUCAGAACUUCGUCUCAGAACCACCAUCAUCUUUGCGCCGCAAUUGAUCUCAUCAUCAUCUAUUUUCUUCUCCAUUAAACCAUUUGAAACCUGUAAAGAGAAAACAGAAUCAUAAAUCUGAAAACCCCCAAAUUAACUACGAACCCUAAAUCGCACUAGACACAAAACGCGAUUAUCAGAGAUAAAACUACAGUUGCACCAUUCGUUUUAUGUUCACAAAACGGGAUGAUGUAUUAAUCUCAAUCUCUUCAACCUUCAAACCUCCGCGUUUUCUAGUGCCUGCCUAGUUGCACCAUUCGUUGAAAAGUCAAGAAAUCCCUUAUCCUUACCCCCACCACUUUCUUCCUUUCCUUCCUUUAAUACAUUUUCCACCCUUGUAUUUUUUGUACCAAAGUUUCAAUCUUUUUCGUCUUUGCACAGCCAAGGAUGGAUUUUUCCCCAUUGGGAUGCUCUGAAUAUAUUGUAAGUUCAGAUCUGUUGACGUGAGUCAUUGUUCAUGUUCUACCAUGCGUUUGUCCCCUUUUUUGGGUUUAGGUUUCUGGGGUUUAUGUGGCAGUGUCUUUUUUUAUUGGGUUUUGUUUGUUUCAAUUGCAUUAGAUUUUAGUUACAUGGCAUAUUAAUCACUUUAUGUUGUGAUGCACAUUUUUCUUGUGGAGCAAAUGACUGAAGGAUUCCGUUUAUGUCUAUUGACUAUAGUUAUGCAUUAUAGCUGUAAUUUUCAAGGACUGUAGUGGUGUCAAUGAAUUUUAAAUUUUAAUUUAAUCUGUGAGGGUUGGUUUCUGGGAGUUUCGGGAUUGGAAUUGGACAAGAUUUUGAAAAUGAUUGUGAGGAAAAGCGUCGGAUGGGUGAAGUCAUUGCUUUUUAUGCUUACGGUGCUUCUGUUUUUCUUUGCCACUGACAAUUUGGUAGCUACGAUCAUGGAGCAUAACGCGGAUGGGUUGGAACAAUCACGAAAGUUGGAGGCAGUGGUGAAGAAGCUGAACUUUAGGAUGACGGAGAAGAAACAGUUCACGAAGGGAGGAAGGGGAAGUUGGGGAUGUGGAGUUUUCGGAACCCAAUUUUUAAAAUGUUUUUUUUAUUAAAUACCACGUAUAAUGUUCUAGCAAUGCCACGUUUGAAAAAUUUUCCACCUCAAUAUCACAAAUCAUAAAAAAUUUAACACCGUUAACGAUUUUUAACGGCAGGGGCUAAUUUGUUUGAAAUUAACACUUAUAAGGACUCAAUUGGGAAGAUUUAAAAGAAAGGGACCAAAUUGGGAAUACCUUACGAAAAUAGGGAUGCCUA
rnacentral:lncRNA from 1 species